CAGGUGCGUGGAUGGGUAGGGGAGCGUCGUAUGGCGGUAGAAGCGGCGGAGUGAUCCAGCCGUGGACGCCAUGCGAGUGAGAAUGCAGGCAUGAGUAGCGAGAGGGGAGUGAGAAACUCCCCCGCCGGAAGACCAAGGGUUCCUGGGCCAGGCUAAUCCGCCCAGGGUGAGUCGGGACCUAAGGCGAGGCCGACAGGCGUAGUCGAUGGACAACGGGUUGAUAUUCCCGUACCCGCGAAGGAACGCCCAUGCUGAACCCAGCGAUGCUAACCGCCCGAACACCGGUGCCGGCUCUUUCGAGGGUCGUUGCCGGGACUAGCGCGGGAUCCGGACUGGUAGUAGGCAAGCGAUGGGGUGACGCAGGAAGGUAGUCCUACCGGUGAGUGGUAGUACCGGUGCAAGGGUGUGGCCCGUGCCAUAGGUAAAUCCGUGGCACAUACAGGGUGAGGCCUGACGCAUAGCCGAAUGAGGCGAAUGGGAUGAUCCUAUGCUGCCGAGAAAAGCCUCUAGCGAGUUCCGAGCGGCCCGUACCCCAAACCAACUCAGGUGGUCAGGUAGAGAAUACCAAGGCGAUCGAGCGAACUGUGGUUAAGGAACUCGGCAAAAUGCCCCCGUAACUUCGGGAGAAGGGGGGCCACUUCCUGUCAACAUCCUUGCGGUGGGCAGCGGGGGGUGGCCGCAGAGACCAGUGAGAAGCGACUGUUUACUAAAAACACAGGUCCGUGCGAAGUCGUAAGACGAUGUAUACGGACUGACGCCUGCCCGGUGCUGGAACGUUAAGGGGACGGGUUAGCCGCAAGGCGAAGCUCAGAACUCAAGCGCCAGUAAACGGCGGUGGUAACUAUAACCAUCCUAAGGUAGCGAAAUUCCUUGUCGGGUAAGUUCCGACCUGCACGAAUGGCGUAACGACUUCUCAGCUGUCUCAACCACAGGCUCGGCGAAAUUGCACUACGAGUAAAGAUGCUCGUUACGCGCGGCAGGACGGAAAGACCCCGGGACCUUCACUAUAGCUUGAUAUUGGUGUUCGGUUCGGCUUGUGUAGGAUAGGUGGGAGACUGCGAAGCGGGCACGCCAGUGUUCGUGGAGUCGCCGUUGAAAUACCACUCUGGUCGAAUUGGAUGUCUAACCUCGGUCCGUGAUCCGGAUCAGGGACAGUGUCAGGUGGGUAGUUUAACUGGGGCGGUUGCCUCCCAAAAUGUAACGGAGGCGCCCAA
rnacentral:rRNA from 1 species